GUUGUCGACGAUGGACGCAUAUAGGUCUUAAAAGUAAAGUUGCAUAUUAGUCUUGAAAGGUUUCUUCAUAAGGUUUCAGCAUCAUUCUCACUCCCGACUUCAGGCAACUACUAUAAAAUGAUUUCAGAAAAUUUGGCUUGUUGAAAGUUUGAAAGCCUGAAAAAAAUGGUGUGUGACAGGACCUAUUGGGGAAGUGUCUCCUGUGCUAAACUGCUGUGCCAAUCUCAAGAGUUGCUGUUUUUGCAAUUCUAAUUUGAGUCUGCCCAAGCUGCUGUGUGAAACUCGAGAGUUGCCAUCACUAUCAAUAUGAGAUGCUUCCUGUCUUGAUUCAAAAUUAGUAGUAAUAAGAGUUGGGACAAAUAAAACACUAAUUAUUAUUA